GUUUAUAUAGCUUAUUAUUUAUAGAGCAUAUCAGUGAAGUUGAUGAGGAAACUUGAGUGUUUAUAAAUA
rnacentral:tRNA from 1 species